UCCUACGGGAGGCAGCAGUGGGGAAUUUUGGACAAGGGGGGAAAGCGGGAUCCAGCAAUGCCGCGCGGGCAAGAAGGCCUUAGGGUGUAAAGCAAUUUGUCCGGAAAGAAGUAAAGCCCUCUAACACGGUAGGGGGAGACGGUCCCGAAGAAUAGCACCGGCUAA
rnacentral:rRNA from 1 species